rnacentral:rRNA from 1 species
UACGGAGGAUCCAAGCGUUAUCCGGAUUUAUUGGGUUUAAAGGGUGCGUAGGCGGCCUGUUAAGUCAGGGGUGAAAGACGGUAGCUCAACUAUCGCAGUGCCCUUGAUACUGAUGGGCUUGAAUGGACUAGAGGUAGCGGAAUGAGACAAGUAGCGGUGAAAUGCAUAGAUAUGUCUCAGAACACCGAUUGCGAAGGCAGCUUACUAUGUCUUAUUGACGCUGAGCACGAAGC